rnacentral:tRNA from 1 species
GAGGGUAUAACUCAGUCGUAGAGUAUGUGCUUAGCAUGCAUGAGAUCAUGGAUUCAAUCCCCAGUACCUUUA